rnacentral:rRNA from 1 species
UAGGGAAUCUUCGGCAAUGGACGGAAGUCUGACCGAGCAACGCCGCGUGAGUGAAGAAGGUUUUCGGAUCGUAAAGCUCUGUUGUAAGAGAAGAACGAGUGUGAGAGUGGAAAGUUCACACUGUGACGGUAUCUUACCAGAAAGGGACGGCUAACUACGUGCCAGCAGCCGCGGUAAUACGUAGGUCCCGAGCGUUGUCCGGAUUUAUUGGGCGUAAAGCGAGCGCAGGCGGUUAGAUAAGUCUGAAGUUAAAGGCUGUGGCUUAACCAUAGUACGCUUUGGAAACUGUUUAACUUGAGUGCAAGAGGGGAGAGUGGAAUUCCAUGUGUAGCGGUGAAAUGCGUAGAUAUAUGGAGGAACACCGGUGGCGAAAGCGGCUCUCUGGCUUGUAACUGACGCUGAGGCUCGAAAGCGUGGGGAGCAAACAGGAUUAGAUACCCUGGUAGUCCACGCCGUAAACGAUGAGUGCUAGGUGUUAGACCCUUUCCGGGGUUUAGUGCCGUAGCUAACGCAUUAAGCACUCCGCCUGGGGAGUACGACCGCAAGGUU